UACGGAGGAUGCAAGCGUUAUCCGGAUUGAUUGGGCGUAAAGCGUCUGUAGGUGGUUACGCUAGUCGGCUGUUAAAGAUCAGGGCUGAACCCUGAGCAAGCAGUCGAAACUGCGUGGCUGGAGUACGGUAGGGGCAGAGGGAAUUCCCGGUGUAGCGGUGAAAUGCGUAGAUAUCGGGAAGAACAUCGGUGGCGAAAGCGCUCUACUGGACUGCAACUGACACUCAGGGACGAAAGCUAGGGGAGCGAAUGGG
rnacentral:rRNA from 1 species